UCAUCUUCCAUUCCUGUGAGCGGCCAUUGCAUCCCUGCCUUGGAUCCUGAGUAGAUUUGCUCAGGUCAUCCCUGCCUGGCAAUCUUCCUCUGCCCCAGGGGAAGCCAGGCCUGGCGUGGGAGGUUACGGGCCUGCACAAACCUACCAGCAGGGCCUCCUUGGGCAGCGUGGACCUGGAGCUUCUCUUGGGGCCACCAGUGUGUUGGGGCAGGGGAGGAGCUGGUGUCCUUCGCGGGGAGACCCUAGAAGCUACCUUAAGCCAUUCCCUUCCCUUCCCAUGUGGCCUUUGACAGCUCUGGUAAAGUAGAAGUAUCACAUGUAAGCUGGGAGCCCCAGUGGGCUGCUGUGUGAAAGGAGAUGGCAGUCACUAUCUAGUAGCUCCAGUUCUGUUUUUAUGGCCAUUUCUCCAACCAUGUAGCCAAUACUUUGCAAAAAACUUAGCAUAAUAGACUUUACAUUUCUCUUCUGGAGGGAAAGGAAAAAACCUCAGGUUACUUAGAGGAGACUCGGGAGGGAAAGGAUGCAGGUUGGGAUAGAAUGCCCUUCUCAAUCUGGAUAACCUCCAUCAAUGUAUUUAACCUCAUUCUUAGUUUUCUCAUCGGAAAGCAGGGAUGAUGAUGAUAAUGUGACGUCACACGAUUGAGAAAGGUUAUAGGUAACCACACGUCCUGAACACCCAACUCGGAAUCUGGCCCAGCAGACACUCAGAUAUGAGUCCCCAAGUAUUUGAAUGUCUACUGUGAGCCUGGAACUGUCCUGGGGACUGUGGACUCAACAGAAAACCACACCCCUGCCUCUAGGAGGUUUGCGUUCUAGCGGGCACGGGCGAGACCAGCUAUAAACCACAUAUGGCGUCAGUUCCCAGAAGAGAAAUAAAGCAGGUACAGAAUGAUGGUGGGGGUGACGGCUCUAUUCUGGGAGGUAUCUGGUGACAUUUGAGCAGAGACUUGAUGGGCCCAGGUGGUGGCUAUCACUCGUGAGAGCUUUGGGCAUCAUUCCUCCCAGCACAUGCUCCAGUUACGUGGAGGCAGGACUGGCAUUUGGGUGAUUUUCUUGGAUUGCUUGGCACUGCCAUCUAGCCUCUCUCCACUUCCUUUGCAGGGUUUAACUCCCUCGUGGGUGGCGUGAUGGGCUUCUCCAUUCUUCUGAGCGCGGAAGUGUUCAAGCAUGACUCGGCGGUCUGGUACCUGGACGGCAGCAUAGGCGUUCUGAUCGGCCUCACCAUAUUUGCCUAUGGGGUCAAACUCCUCAUCGACAUGGUGCCGAGGGUGAGGCAGACACGUCACUACGAGAUGUUUGAGUGAAGGGGGCCAGCAUCCGCAUGAGACCAUCGAGAUGAGGAGUUUCCACAUAGGCAAAGGGUGCCAAUAUUUAACUGAACAUCUGGUUUCUUUUUGGAAGUUUUCUUUCACAUGGUUUGUCAUUACAAGACAAGGUCUGCCCAGCCAGGUGGAUCUACCUUGCCCCCAUCACCUGCCGCCCCCAUCAAACAUGUUGGGACAAUGCCCAUAGGAAUGGACCUCCUUCCCCGUCUCCAGCUGGGACUGGCGUUUUUUAGUCUCUGGAGUAUGAUGGUUCUCAUGGGUAGGAUGAGAUCUUUGGCAGAAAGGUCUUCGGUGGUGCUCUGAGCCUGCGCUGCAUAGGACUGAGCAGACCCACCUCCUCCAGCUUGGGUGGCCCUGCCACUCCUGGUUCCAAGUCUCUCCUUUCCUGGCAGGUCUUAAGGGAAGAUUGUACCCCUCACCCUUUACAUACCCAGAAUCAUCAGUAUGUCACUUCCUAAUUUCUAUCAGUGUAUCUCAUUAUUUCAUACUGUUUUACUAAUCCUAAGUCUAAACAGAUUUGCUCAAAAGGAGACCAUUCUAUUUUUUAAAGUACUUAGUGAUACACGUAUAAGCUUUGCAUGGACGAAUUAAAUAAGCACAUUGACCUUUUCUUGUACAUUCAGAACCUGAACAUCCAUGUGAAAACUGGGUCCAUUUUUGAGAGAUGUGAAACUACAGUUUAUUUGUAAUAAAUAAAUAUAAUCUAUCCGUAUAUGCAUAUAUCUAUAUGCUGUGUUAAGUGGUAAUGGGUACAUUACAGUCUGUGAGAGAUGGAUCGCUCCCUCUGUAAGGAACAAGACGUUCUCAGCUGAUGUCACGGUAGGUUUAGAUUCUGUAGAGUGUUCCCCAACCCGCACCGUUCUGUACCUCUCACACCACUGCUUGCCCGGGCAGUAGUGGCUGACCAAUAAAGACCUUUACCUGUUUUGUAUGGC
rnacentral:lncRNA from 1 species